ensembl:lncRNA DRAIC downregulated RNA in cancer, inhibitor of cell invasion and migration
GUGUCCGGAGAGGCCAACGCUUUCAUUAGCCAGCAGGAAUGGGCUGGGGCGCGUUUGUAGUUGGGAAUCCUGAGCCCGGGCUGUUGCUUGGAGGACUCGGGAGCAGCAGUGGAUUUCGGCGUUACCAGGAGAGCUAUGUAUAGGAAUGCCGCUAUGGAAAGACAUCCAGGACACCUUGUUAAGUGAAAAAAGACAUGCCACCAUUAGGGCUUCAUUUCCCUGCAGUCUUCUUUAAAUACCAAAACUGCCCUGGGAAGGAUAAGACAUCAGUUUCUUCAUACUUCAGAGCAAAUGGGAUUGAUUCCCAGGACCUCCUUUCUGUGGACUGGGUUUUUGCCUCCUCACCAAGAGACUGGGCUCCCUGGGCGAGCAGAGGCUGCUGGGUUCAGUAUCUGAACACUUUUGCUAAAGGUCUCUGGAAAGCUCCCUGUGUUAAUUCUCGAUGAGACUACGUCUGUGCCGGCCGCUUCCUGAGCCUCCUUCCAUGUGCAUAGGCCUGCUGCAUGCUGGAGACCUGCGGCACAGCUGCCAAGUGCCCCGUGUGGUUCUGUGAUCUUGGGACAGUCACUUCCUCUCUGUGGUUGUCAGUCUUCUCAUCCCUAAGGUGGAGCCCAUUUCCCCUCCUGCUGAGCGUGGGCCACACUUAGCGACUGGCUUUCAAUGAAGAGAAUGUAACAGAGGUGAAAGUGUGUGACAUUCGAGGAAAGGCCAUAAAAGACAUUGGUGCUUCAGCUUUGCUCUCGCGGCUGUCUGACUCUGGGGGAAGCCAGCCACCACGUCAUGAGGACACCCAAACAGCCUACGGAGAGGCCCACGUAGGGAGGAGCUGAGGCCCCCUGCCAGCAAGCAGCCCUAGCCCGCCAGCUGUGUGAGUGAGCGAGCCUUUUUGGAAGUGCAUCCUCCUGUCCCAGUCCAGCCCUCAGAUGGCUGCAGCCCUGCUAGCAUCUUGACUGCCGCCUCAUGAGGGACCUCAAGCCAGAACCAACAGCCACGUGGUGCCAGAAUUCCUCAUCUGCAGCAGCCGUGUGAGAUCAUAACUGUUUAUUGCCUUUUUAAGCCACUGAGUUUUGGGGUCGUUUGUUACUCAGCAGUAGAUGAUUAAUAUGCUGUCAUGCAGCUGUCUUGGAACCAGGAGGGGCAAGACUGAGGGCAGAAGCCACUGUGGUGAAACUGGCGGAGACAUGGAAUCUGGAUUCCUGGUGAUGUGAGCUAGUGAGCUGCCCAGCCAACCCUGGGUUGCCUAUUUUGGGACUUUUUGUUACAUGAGCUGAUAAGAACCCUUAAUUCAUUGUUAGUCUGGGGUUCCAUUAUUUGUAAACAGCUUUUUACUGCCU